rnacentral:rRNA from 1 species
UGGGGAAUUUUGCGCAAUGGGGGAAACCCUGACGCAGCGACGCCGUGUGAGUGAUGAAGCAUUUCGGUGUGUAAAGCUCUGUCAGCAGGGACGAUAAUGACGGUACCUGCAGAGGAAGCUCCGGCUAAUUAUGUGCCAGCAGCCGCGGUAAUACAUAAGGAGCGAGCGUUAUCCGGAUUUACUGGGCGUAAAGGGCGCGUAGGCUGCUAGGUAAGUGAGGUGUUAAAGGUUUCGGCUCAACCGGAACAUGCAUUUCAUACUGCUUGGCUAGAGAGUGGGAAGGGAAAGUGGAAUUCACAGUGUAGCGGUGAAAUGCGUAGAUAUUGUGAAGAACACCAGUGGCGAAGGCGGCUUUCUGGACCACAUCUGACGCUGAGGCGCGAAAGCGUGGGGAGCAAACAGG